UUAAUUGAAGAGUUUGAUCAUGGCUCAGAUUGAACGCUGGCGGCAGGCCUAACACAUGCAAGUCGAGCGGUAACAGGAAGUAGCUUGCUACUUUGCUGACGAGCGGCGGACGGGUGAGUAAUGCUUGGGAACAUGCCUUGAGGUGGGGGACAACAGUUGGAAACGACUGCUAAUACCGCAUAAUGUCUACGGACCAAAGGGGGCUUCGGCUCUCGCCUUUAGAUUGGCCCAAGUGGGAUUAGCUAGUUGGUGAGGUAAUGGCUCACCAAGGCGACGAUCCCUAGCUGGUUUGAGAGGAUGAUCAGCCACACUGGGACUGAGACACGGCCCAGACUCCUACGGGAGGCAGCAGUGGGGAAUAUUGCACAAUGGGCGCAAGCCUGAUGCAGCCAUGCCGCGUGUGUGAAGAAGGCCUUCGGGUUGUAAAGCACUUUCAGUCAGGAGGAAAGGUUAGUAGUUAAUACCUGCUAGCUGUGACGUUACUGACAGAAGAAGCACCGGCUAACUCCGUGCCAGCAGCCGCGGUAAUACGGAGGGUGCGAGCGUUAAUCGGAAUUACUGGGCGUAAAGCGUACGCAGGCGGUUUGUUAAGCGAGAUGUGAAAGCCCCGGGCUCAACCUGGGAACUGCAUUUCGAACUGGCAAACUAGAGUGUGAUAGAGGGUGGUAGAAUUUCAGGUGUAGCGGUGAAAUGCGUAGAGAUCUGAAGGAAUACCGAUGGCGAAGGCAGCCACCUGGGUCAACACUGACGCUCAUGUACGAAAGCGUGGGGAGCAAACGGGAUUAGAU
rnacentral:rRNA from 1 species